rfam:Clunio marinus genome assembly, contig: CLTMA_superscaffold_47C
GGGGAUAUAGCUCAGUGGUAGAGCGUUUGCUUUGCAUGUAAAAGGUCCCGGGUUCGAAACCCGGUAUCUCCA